AAACACAAAGACAAAUACUACCAUUUAGUAUAAAAUUGACAACUGACAGUGGAUACUGGCAAUUCAAAAUACUUCCCCAAAUUUAGGAUAUGCAACAUCAGCAUAAUCCACUUGUGGAAAAAAUAUGCAUAAGAUCAACAUACCUCUCCCAUGCUAGCCUGAAGGAACAGAUACUAAAUUUAUCUCAAGACUGUUACACAAUACUUUUUCCUCUUAAGUCCCUAUAUACAUUUUCUCGUGCUAACAUAGGUAAUGUCAAAAAUAAAUGCCCCUCAAAACCAAUUGUGUACUAUGUGGGUAAUGACAAAGGUGGAAGAGUUGUGUUCAUUAUUGCUUACUGAGCACCUAUUAGGGCAAGCAUGGACCUGGCACUUUAUCGUGCACUUCACUUUGUAUUUUUUAGCACAUUCUCACAGCACGUGAUGAUUUCCUUCCUGGGGUUGGUGCAGGUACAGGGCACAUCUUAAUUCCUUUUCUCAUGCCCUCCCCUCCUUCCAUCUCUCGACCCCCUCGUUUGAGAAAGAUCCCUUCCUAUCUUUUACGUUGCUCUUUAUGUUGGGCCAUCUCCUUUGACACUCACACAGCUAUGUGGUAGAUACGCAUUAGCCCACUUUACACUUGCAAAACUAAAGCACAGAGGUAAAACCCCACGCAAACCAGUGAACUUGCCAGGAUUUUCUUGCCACUCUGCAUUUCUUAGGAGCAAAGGGGAAAACUCUGCUGCAUACAUGUAAUGGAGAGGAUAGAAAACUCACUUCCACGGCUAUUUUACUUAAUUCUUCAUGUUUUAUGUUUGAGUUUAAAUCAGUGAAAUUCUAAGAUGGUUUCUUUUCUCCACAAUGUGAUUUUGCCAGUUACACCAAUAGCUCUCUUGGCUUUGCUUUUUUUACCCUCAGGGCUUCCUGGUCCUCGAGGCGAGAAAAGGCGACCUAGGAGAAAAGGGAGAGAAGGGAUUCCGUGGCGUUAAGGGGGAAAAAGGGGAGCCAGGCCAGCCUGGCUUGGACGGGCUGGAUGCCCCUUGCCAAUUGGGUCCGGAUGGAUUACCCAUGCCCGGCUGCUGGCAGAAGUGAUGAAUUAACUUUCCAAGCAUGAAGUUGUAUAUAUUAUGGUCCACUUUCUAUAUUUAUAGUUGAAAACCGAACUGCAGAUUUUACAAGUCUGAGCUAUGUUUACAUAGAGCUGCUUCUUCCUGUGUGCUAUAGUACACACGCAUCAUUUCUCCACUUGCAUCCGAAAUUGGGCAAUUUAGGGAACCAGUGAGAAGCCUGCAAAGAAUAUAGACCAGUGUCCCUUACAUGAGGAUAUGUAUUUAUACGGACUUCAGUGAUAGACAGUGAAUGUUCUUGCUAUUUUCUUACUUUGAGCAUUGCAUGGGCUAAAAGCUCCAUGAAAUCGCUUACAUGAAAUUGUGACCAAAUAUGGACUCAAGGCUACGAAUGUGUACUAUUCCGACUGAUUUGUCUGUUGUCACCUCCACUCACCUUCCCUCCUAGCAUUGGCACCACUGAAUCUGACUAAAGAAAGCAUGCGUGUGCGCCCAACCUGCUUGCUGUGCAAACCCAGAUGGUUGCAUGCUGCCUGACCACCCCCUGCAGGCUCAUCUGAGCUUAUUCCUUUUGUCGUCUCAAGGGGGUUACACCAUGGCUUAUUGCCAAAAAGAGAUAAGUUGGCGGAGAGCACACACACGGUUGGUCUGAUAUUUUGAGGGCGUUGCAGAUCUACAGCUUCUGGUGUUAUGGCCUUGGGUGAAAUGCCAAGGGGCUGAGCCGAUGGCUGCUGCCAGUUUUCCUUGGGCUGCCCUUGCCAGUGAAGCCGCGAGAAGAAGAAUGGCUAGGCAUGCCGCACCGUCUCUCAUGUGACCACGUAGGAAAGCGGUUUACAGAGGCGAACACCCAGAAUAGCAGACUUUCUUGUUUAAUAAACUGGAUCCCAGCGAGCGUUCAUCUGGGUGCUUUUGGAAGUGACAGAGGCUGCGGCUCUUUUGGGACCAGAAGUCUUUGGGAUGGCCAUGCCGGCCUGAGGACAGAGGGUAUGCACGUGCCAUCAAAGCUCGAUUACUGAAGACGCGCGUCCCCAGGAAGCUCUGCCUCACGCCCUCCUGAAAGUCCAGGGGCUCCCGGACGCCUCUGCCACAGUCCCGUGGCAUCUUUUCCUCCGUCCGGUCCACCCAUCGCCAGCCUUUCCUACACGUUCUCGAGAGAAACGAAGAUAGGGUUCUCCGUUCUUUUCGGAUACUUUUUUCUUUUACUCGGAGGAAUAUUUAGAAAAUUUGUUUCAGUUUUUGUCAUAUCUUCUUUGAACAGUUUCCUAAAGGUCUUCAAAAUCAUACUAAUUCAGUGCCAACAGUCAAAUGACUUUUUACUAACAUCUUUGUUUUAGAUAACUGGAGAGAACAAAAAAGCUCCAAUUUCAGUUUAAUCAUUGUAAAGCAUGAAAGUUCAGCUUUAGUACUUUUUUACUUUUUUACAUGAUGAAUGUAAUAUACAUAGAGAUUAUCGGUUAAUAUAAAGCCAAGAUUUUAUCACCUUUGAUAACUAACUCAUUCUAUUUCUUAUUAUUGCUUUUUUAAGUUUUUCUACAUUUGGAUUUCUUUUUACAUUUCUAAGUGUUUCUCUUAUCCACAGACCAAAUCUGAGAUCUCAGAAAUCUGUGAAACAUAGUUGCCAUAAGAGUAGGAUUUUUUCAUCUACUUGCUCAAAAAUUACCUAACCAUGUUAGACUAGAAUUUAUUUGCACAGAAAGAGUUGGUGGCAGGGUAUGAAGUGGCUAAGUGGAAAGUUUACGUGGGGAGAAACAUGUUCAUGAGAAAGGCCACCCCACUGGCCCAUUCGAGAAUGUAACGGCCCUAAUGAUUCUGUACCAUGUUGUGGGAAAUGUUCUCAUUUUCACCCCCAGUGAGGAAAUCAGCUCACCAUUAGCUUAUGGUAACAACAGAUAAGAUAGAAUUCCAAGAUGAAGAUUUGUGACCCAGUGCUCAAUUAUACAAAAAAAAAAUUAUGACAUUUUCAAGGUUAGAGAGAUGUUUAAACUAUUAGAUCUGCCUACUUGGUAGUAAUUCUAGUAACAUUCCACAGCCCUAAGACAAUUUAGCAUUUUUAAAAUAAUGAGAGGGCAUUUUCUAACAAUUUUUUGUAUGACAUGCUUAGGAUAAUGUAUUAAUGUCUGAAACAAUUUGUCUUAAAUGGUUUGGAAAGAUUAAACUGGAGUAGAACUAUGUUCUCUUCAGAAAAACCAAUGAUAAAGUCUUGAGAAAAAGUCUGGUGACUAUAUUUCUUCUAUCUUCCUUUCUAUUCCUUAGUAGAGAAGAAUCAUUAAAUUAAAAUUUGUAAAGCCUCCAAUGAGAAUACCUCUACAUCAAAAGAGAAGCAUUUCACAUAUAAAAAUGUUUUUGUACAUAGUCCUUUGAAGAAUACAAUCCUGUGGGUAUAUUGGAAUUUUGCCCUAUAACUAGCUUGACAACAUCAGUUUAUUCAAUGAUUAAAGGAAGCCCUAAAUUUCCAUUACAUUUAUUUCCUUGGGAAAAACAAAGGAAUGAUGAAACUCCUCUUUGUUCAACAGAAGUGCUAGGUCUUAGCCAGCAUAGAUAAUCUUAAACUUUAGGUUAUCAAAAUAUUUUCAAACAUCCAUUUUGUCACUGAUAUGGAGAAUCCUCAAAUAAGGUCCAAAGUAAUAAUGAAUUAUAGUUGAUAAAUGUGUUGGCAGAUUAACAUUUUUCUUAAAGAUUUCUUUUAAUUUAUAAGGUAGAGAACUGAGAAACUAUAGUGACAAUAAAUGAAGGUCAAAUUUUACUUCUGAUAAAACAUUUUUAAAGGAUGCAAACUGUUGUAUGUUUUAGCAUUAAAAUUUUUUUCCAUUCCUAUUGAUUGGUGCUAAUAUAUUAUUUCUUUCAUUUUUUUCUUUUAUCGAUAAUGCAACUUACUAUGGAUAAUUUCAUUUCUCUAAUUGCAUUCCUAAGCUUUUUGUGUGUGAUUUUAUUUUUAAAGUUCGUGAAUUUGCUGUAGUUAUGGUUCAAUGACCAGCCUUUCUUACUGUAAAACAGUGUGCCUAUGGAUGAUGUGUUUUUACUUGGAUGGUGGAUCCCCUUGGUUCCUGUUCAUUUCAUGCAUCAUAUGCCUUUAUAAACUUUUUUGGGGGUACUGGGGAUCGAACUCAGGACCUUGCACUUUGUGAAGCAGGCAGCGGAACCGCUGAGCUAAAUCCCUGGCCCGCCUUUAUAAACUUUUAUUCAUCUCGUCUUUUAACUUACAUAAUUUGAUUAAAAUUAAUACAAACUGUGUGCAAGAAGUCUGCACACUCCACAUAGAGUCCCUGGUGUGUCACACACCUAAACUACUCUUCCGGUUUUCACUAUCAAAAUCAGUCCUGGGGGGGAGGGUUUCUUUUCUUGUGAUUUGGCAGAGAACAAUGGAAUAUCUGUCAUUUCUAUGAGUAGAAAAGUCUUGUUCUUGAACUUACAGUGUGUGCACAUGAUGUUCUACUGGGACAGCAAGAACUUACUCUUAAAGUGAUUUAUAUGCGCGUCCUUUGUCUACAGUAUGCGAAUAUAUCUGCUCCUUUGGAGAUUAGGAAAAGUGCUUAAUUUCUAAGUUUUAAAAUUUUACUAUUGAAGCAUAAAAAGUUAUUUUUUAUCCUUUUGCUCCCGCUACAUACAGUAUCAUCUUACCUAGAAUUCAUAAGCAACACAGAUGCUGAUAUUGACACAUUAACAAGAAAUAAAAAUAUUUUAAUAUAUAACACUACCAAAAAAAUUAAUUUUCUAAUCUUUGCAAACACUUGAUAUCUCUAGGAAGUCAAGGUCAAAGAAAUCUUAUCUUUCCAAAAAGAGUAAGAACCUAUUGUAUGCUGGCUGUUAAAAAACAAAAUCUCACAGCCCUAAUAGAAUUUCCAUGUUUGAUCAGUUAUAGUUCUGCCAAAUUGUUUUAGGACAUAAAAAUCUUCAGUCUUUACUUUCAAUUUUUCUUCACAUAUUGGCUAGAUUUGUUACAUGCUGGAAGAGAUAUUCCUCCAACUUAAAUUUUUACUGAUUUUAGUUUUUUGCUAAUCCAAUCUUAGUACAGUAUUUUUUCAUUAAAAAUACAUUAAAUGCAUAAAUUGCCUAUGCUGCUUAUUAACAGAAUGCUCUUUUGGAAAUAGGAAGACCUUUUCAAUCUUACUUGUUAUGUUUGAUUUAUCGACAAUAAAGGAAGUACCAACAGUUCCCAAAAUACAUUUGAUAGUCUCUCACAUAUCUCAGAAAUAUUAAUGAAUUGGAUUCACAAAAGAAUGUCUUACAUAUUUGUUGACAUUUAUGUGAAUAUACUUUAUAUUGUAAACGUUUCAUUCAACUUAACAUUUUUGAAAGAUGUAUCUGAUUUUUCUUUAGGAAAUAUAUUUUUGUGUUUUUCACAUUUUAAAGUUCAUCUUUAGGUGCAGCUAUUUUUGUUGCCAAACUCACAAAGUGGGAAACUCAAAAAAAAAAAAAAAAUGGCAAGCAUUACAGAGUAGUUUUCUUUAAAAUGUUUUGUGGGCCAGUCUCAUGUAAUUGAUCAUUCUGAGAAUGUGUUGUGUCUUAUCAAUGUAAAUAUGGCACACACCCAAUUAUCUCAGUAGUGUACAUAUUUGAAAGACUGAAUUCUCCCUGUUUGAUUUCUUAUUUCAGUUUCAUUGUACUUUCUUUGGCUGACAUUACUGAAUCAAAAGACGCAUGAAGUUUUUUGAUUUGCAGUUUGGAAAUAAUUGCAUUGUGUUCGGUUUCUAAUUUGUUUUUAUUUGCUUCUUAAACUUGUUUUCAGGGUUAGUAGGUUGUGAGAAGUUGAUCUUCAGAAUUAUUUUUACACUAUUUAUGAUUUAUUUUCAUAAUGUAAAAAGUGUGUAAUUAUUACAGUAUUAAUCCAAACAAUGAUCAUGAAUUGUAUUGUUAUAAAGCUUUACUGAUGUUCGUGGA
rnacentral:lncRNA from 1 species